rnacentral:rRNA from 1 species
AUGAACGCUAGCUACAGGCUUAACACAUGCAAGUCGAGGGGCAGCAUGGUCUUAGCUUGCUAAGGCCGAUGGCGACCGGCGCACGGGUGAGUAACACGUAUCCAACCUGCCGUCUACUCUUGGACAGCCUUCUGAAAGGAAGAUUAAUACAAGAUGGCAUCAUGAGUCCGCAUGUUCACAUGAUUAAAGGUAUUCCGGUAGACGAUGGGGAUGCGUUCCAUUAGAUAGUAGGCGGGGUAACGGCCCACCUAGUCUUCGAUGGAUAGGGGUUCUGAGAGGAAGGUCCCCCACAUUGGAACUGAGACACGGUCCAAACUCCUACGGGAGGCAGCAGUGAGGAAUAUUGGUCAAUGGGCGAGAGCCUGAACCAGCCAAGUAGCGUGAAGGAUGACUGCCCUAUGGGUUGUAAACUUCUUUUAUAAAGGAAUAAAGUCGGGUAUGGAUACCCGUUUGCAUGUACUUUAUGAAUAAGGAUCGGCUAACUCCGUGCCAGCAGCCGCGGUAAUACGGAGGAUCCGAGCGUUAUCCGGAUUUAUUGGGUUUAAAGGGAGCGUAGAUGGAUGUUUAAGUCAGUUGUGAAAGUUUGCGGCUCAACCGUAAAAUUGCAGUUGAUACUGGAUAUCUUGAGUGCAGUUGAGGCAGGCGGAAUUCGUGGUGUAGCGGUGAAAUGCUUAGAUAUCACGAAGAACUCCGAUUGCGAAGGCAGCCUGCUAAGCUGCAACUGACAUUGAGGCUCGAAAGUGUGGGUAUCAAACAGGAUUAGAUACCCUGGUAGUCCACACGGUAAACGAUGAAUACUCGCUGUUUGCGAUAUACUGCAAGCGGCCAAGCGAAAGCGUUAAGUAUUCCACCUGGGGAGUACGCCGGCAACGGUGAAACUCAAAGGAAUUGAGGGGGGCCCGCACAAGCGGAGGAACAUGUGGUUUAAUUCGAUGAUACGCGAGGAACCUUACCCGGGCUUAAAUUGCAGAUGAAUUACGGUGAAAGCCGUAAGCCGCAAGGCAUCUGUGAAGGUGCUGCAUGGUUGUCGUCAGCUCGUGCCGUGAGGUGUCGGCUUAAGUGCCAUAACGAGCGCAACCCUUGUUGUCAGUUACUAACAGGUUCCGCUGAGGACUCUGACAAGACUGCCAUCGUAAGAUGUGAGGAAGGUGGGGAUGACGUCAAAUCAGCACGGCCCUUACGUCCGGGGCUACACACGUGUUACAAUGGGGGGUACAGAGGGCCGCUACCACGCGAGUGGAUGCCAAUCCCCAAAACCUCUCUCAGUUCGGACUGGAGUCUGCAACCCGACUCCACGAAGCUGGAUUCGCUAGUAAUCGCGCAUCAGCCACGGCGCGGUGAAUACGUUCCCGGGCCUUGUACACACCGCCCGUCAAGCCAUGGGAGCCGGGGGUACCUGAAGUGCGUAACCGCGAGGAGCGCCCUAGGGUAAAACUGGUGACUGGGGCU